GAGUUUGAUCAUGGCUCAGAUUGAACGCUGGCGGCAUGCCUUACACAUGCAAGUCGAACGGUAACAGGUCUUCGGAUGCUGACGAGUGGCGAACGGGUGAGUAAUACAUCGGAACGUGCCCGAUCGUGGGGGAUAACGAAGCGAAAGCUUUGCUAAUACCGCAUACGAUCUACGGAUGAAAGCAGGGACCGGCAAGGCCUUGCGCGAACGGAGCGGCCGAUGGCAGAUUAGGUAGUUGGUGGGAUAAAAGACUUACCAAGCCGACGAUCUGUAGCUGGUCUGAGAGGACGACCAGCCACACUGGGACUGAGACACGGCCCAGACUCCUACGGGAGGCAGCAGUGGGGAAUUUUGGACAAUGGGCGAAAGCCUGAUCCAGCCAUGCCGCGUGCAGGAUGAAGGCCUCGGUUGUAACUGCUUUGUACGACGAAAGAC
rnacentral:rRNA from 1 species